rnacentral:rRNA from 1 species
UACGUAGGGUGCAAGCGUUGUCCGGAAUUAUUGGGCGUAAAGAGCUCGUAGGCGGUUUGUCGCGUCGAAUGUGAAAUCCCGGGGCUCAACCCCGGGUCUGCAUUCGAUACGGGCAGACUAGAGUUCGGAAGAGGCGAGUGGAAUUCCCGGUGUAGCGGUGAAAUGCGCAGAUAUCGGGAGGAACACCAAUGGCGAAGGCAGCUCGCUGGGACGUUACUGACGCUGAGACG